GUUUAGAUAUCAGCCUUCUCUCAGA
rnacentral:piRNA from 1 species